rnacentral:rRNA from 1 species
AGUAAUGUAUGGGGAGCUGCCUGAUGCGGGGGAUAACUACUGGAAACGGUAGCUAAUACCGCAUAAUGUCUGCGGACCAAAGAGGGGGACCUUAGGGCCUCUUGCCAUCGGAUGUGCCCAGAUGGGAUUAGCUAGUAGGUGGGGUAACGGCUCACCUAGGCGACGAUCCCUAGCUGGUCUGAGAGGAUGAUCAGCCACACUGGGACUGAGACACGGUCCAG